rnacentral:rRNA from 1 species
AUUGAACGCUGGCGGCAGGCCUAACACAUGCAAGUCGAACGAGUGGCGGACGGGUGAGUAAUGCCUGGGACACUGCCUGAUGGUGGGGGAUAACUACUGGAAACGGUAGCUAAUACCGCAUACCCUCAGAUGUGCCCAGAUGGGUUUAGCUUGUUUGUGGGGUAACGGCUCACCAAGGCGACGAUCCCUAGCUGGGCUGAGAGGAUGACCAGGCACCCUGGAACUGAGACACGGUCCAGCCUCAUACGGGAGGCAUCAGUGGGGAAUAGUGCACAAUGGGCGCGAGCCUGAGGCAGCCAUGCCGCGUGGAUGAAGAAGGCCUUCGUGUGGUAAAGUACUUUCAGCGGGGUGGCGUUACCCGCUGAAGAAGGACCGGCUAACUCCGUGCCAGCAGCCGCGGUAAUUC